rnacentral:rRNA from 1 species
CAAUAGCGUAUAUUUAAGUUGUUGCAGUUAAAAAGCUCGUAGUUGGAUUUCGGAUGGGACUUGCCGGUCCGUCGUUUCGAUGUGCACUGGCCAGUCCUAUCUUGUUGUCGGGGACUAGCUCCUGGGCUUCACUGUCCGGGACUAGGAGCUGACGAGGUUACUUUGAGUAAAUUAGAGUGUUCAAAGCAAGCCUUCGCUCUGAAUAUAAUAGCAUGGGAUAACACGACAGGACUCUGGCCUAUCGUGUUGGUCUGUAGGACCGGAGUAAUGAUUAAGAGGAACAGUCGGGGGCAUUCGUAUUCCAUUGUCAGAGGUGAAAUUCUUAGAUUUAUGGAAGACGAACAUCUGCGAAAGCAUUUGCCAAGGAUGUUUUCAUUGA